CACGCCGUAAACGAUGAAUACUAGGUGUGAGGGUUGUCAUGACCUUCGUGCCGCCGCUAACGCAUUAAGUAUUCCGCCUGGGGAGUACGGUCGCAAGAUUAAAACUCAAAGGAAUUGACGGGGGCCCGCACAAGCAGCGGAGCAUGUGGUUUAAUUCGAAGCAACGCGAAGAACCUUACCUAGACUUGACAUCUCCUGCAUUACCCUUAAUCGGGGAAGUUCCUUCGGGAACAGGAAGACAGGUGG
rnacentral:rRNA from 1 species